AGAUGGCGACCGGCGCACGGGUGAGUAACACGUACCCAACCUGCCGAUAACUCGGGGAUAGCCUUUCGAAAGAAAGAUUAAUACCCGAUGGUAUAAUCAGACCGCAUGGUCUUGUUAUUAAAGAAUUUCGGUUAUCGAUGGGGAUGCGUUCCAUUAGGCAGUUGGUGAGGUAACGGCUCACCAAACCUUCGAUGGAUAGGGGUUCUGAGAGGAAGGUCCCCCACAUUGGAACUGAGACACGGUCCAA
rnacentral:rRNA from 1 species